rnacentral:ncRNA from 1 species
UAAAAAUUUUUUGUUGAAUUGGUUUUUUUAUAAUAUUAAAUACAAGUUUUUGCUAGAAAGUUAUUUUAUCUAAAAGGUUAAAUUUUAAUUAUUUAUUUGUAGUUUUUAAUUUUGGUUUAUUACGUAAUUUUUGUAGAUUCAGUUAAUAUAUUUAAGGUUAUUUAAGGUUGUGCCAGCAUACGCGGUUAUACAUCCAGCCUAAAUUAAUUUUUUUGGUUAUUAUUAUUUUUUUUUCUUGGAUUUAAUUUUUAUAAUUUUAAGGUGAAAUUUUUAAUUUUAUUUUAAUUCUUGGUUUAUUAUUAUAUUAGGUUUAGAUUAUAGACUAGGAUUAGAUACCCUAUUAUGCUAAAUGUAAAUUUUUGACCAUGUUAUUAAUAGUUAAGGUCUUUAAAUUAAAAGGAUUUGGCGGUAAUUUAGUCUUUUCAGAGGAACCUGUUCUUUAAUCGAUAAUCCACGUUGGAUUUUACUUUAUUUUUGUUUGUAUAUCUCUGUCAUUGAAUGUUUUAUUAGAAUAUUUUCUUUAAUUAUUAAUUUAAUUAAUGUCAGGUCAAGGUGCAGUUUUAAUAAAGGUUGAAAUGGGUUACAUUUAAUGUUAUUUAUUGAAUUUUUAUGUUGGAAUUUAUAUAUGAAAUGGGAUUUGAAAGUAAUUUUUAUUAUUUUUUAAUAAUGAUUUUGGCUCUAAGUUAUGUACACAUCGCCCGUCACUCUCAUUAUUAAGGUGGGAUAAGUCGUAACAAAGUAAUUUUACUGGAAAGUGAAGUUAGAAUUAA